rnacentral:lncRNA from 1 species
ACCCAGGAUCACUUCCGAAACCACUUGGCCUUCAGCCCCUGCCUCGGCCAGAGGUUUCAUUUUUAACUGAAUAUUUACGAAAGCUGAAAGCGUGCGAGGGGGGUGGGGUGGAAAUAGCGGCUGCUUCUUUUCCAAGGAUUUAUUUAAUGGGGAUGUGUUCAAGGCAAGACCGAAUUCAGAAGGAUAUCGACGUCGUGAUCCAGAAGUCCAGAGCUGAGGACUGCCUGUUUGCAGCUUUAAAUCAUCUAGGAACUUCAUAUAAAAUUUAAUUCCAGUUUCAACUAGUUGUGGAGCAUUUGAUCCAAAAUAAAAUGAAAGUCCUCUCUGAAGCUGUAGAGGAGACUCAAGAAUCAGAACAACCUGAAGUUCUUUAAGCUGUCAGUUGAAGGACUAGGUUUGACUGCAAUGCAGUGUGAAUAUCGCACAUGGGACCAUUUGUCAUACUGUCAGAUGGCAAUACAUAGAUGGAUAGAAUUUUGCUGUUUGAUCAAAGC